GAUGAACGCUGGCGGCGUGCCUAAUACAUGCAAGUCGAGCGAACGGACGAGAAGCUUGCUUCUCUGAUGUUAGCGGCGGACGGGUGAGUAACACGUGGAUAACCUACCUAUAAGACUGGGAUAACUUCGGGAAACCGGAGCUAAUACCGGAUAAUAUUUUGAACCGCAUGGUUCAAAAGUGAAAGACGGUCUUGCUGUCACUUAUAGAUGGAUCCGCGCUGCAUUAGCUAGUUGGUAAGGUAACGGCUUACCAAGGCAACGAUGCAUAGCCGACCUGAGAGGGUGAUCGGCCACACUGGAACUGAGACACGGUCCAGACUCCUACGGGAGGCAGCAGUAGGGAAUCUUCCGCAAUGGGCGAAAGCCUGACGGAGCAACGCCGCGUGAGUGAUGAAGGUCUUCGGAUCGUAAAACUCUGUUAUUAGGGAAGAACAUAUGUGUAAGUAACUGUGCACAUCUUGACGGUACCUAAUCAGAAAGCCACGGCUAACUACGUGCCAGCAGCCGCGGUAAUACGUAGGUGGCAAGCGUUAUCCGGAAUUAUUGGGCGUAAAGCGCGCGUAGGCGGUUUUUUAAGUCUGAUGUGAAAGCCCACGGCUCAACCGUGGAGGGUCAUUGGAAACUGGAAAACUUGAGUGCAGAAGAGGAAAGUGGAAUUCCAUGUGUAGCGGUGAAAUGCGCAGAGAUAUGGAGGAACACCAGUGGCGAAGGCGACUUUCUGGUCUGUAACUGACGCUGAUGUGCGAAAGCGUGGGGAUCAAACAGGAUUAGAUACCCUGGUAGUCCACGCCGUAAACGAUGAGUGCUAAGUGUUAGGGGGUUUCCGCCCCUUAGUGCUGCAGCUAACGCAUUAAGCACUCCGCCUGGGGAGUACGACCGCAAGGUUGAAACUCAAAGGAAUUGACGGGGACCCGCACAAGCGGUGGAGCAUGUGGUUUAAUUCGAAGCAACGCGAAGAACCUUACCAAAUCUUGACAUCCUUUGACAACUCUAGAGAUAGAGCUUUCCCCUUCGGGGGACAAAGUGACAGGUGGUGCAUGGUUGUCGUCAGCUCGUGUCGUGAGAUGUUGGGUUAAGUCCCGCAACGAGCGCAACCCUUAAGCUUAGUUGCCAUCAUUAAGUUGGGCACUCUAAGUUGACUGCCGGUGACAAACCGGAGGAAGGUGGGGAUGACGUCAAAUCAUCAUGCCCCUAUGAUUUGGGCUACACACGUGCUACAAUGGACAAUACAAAGGGCAGCGAAACCGUGAGGUCAAGCAAAUCCCAUAAAGUUGUUCUCAGUUCGGAUUGUAGUCUGCAACUCGACUACAUGAAGCUGGAAUCGCUAGUAAUCGUAGAUCAGCAUGCUACGGUGAAUACGUUCCCGGGUCU
rnacentral:rRNA from 1 species